AUUAGCGCGAUGAAUUCGCGUCACGUAGGAGCCGCGUGUGGGAAAACGUGGAACAAUACGCGCGCUUACGGCUAUGACGAACCCUGCCUGCCAUUGUUAUGGUAAAGAAACGUCUCUUUCUUUCUCUCUCUCUCUGUCUCUGUCUCCCUUCCUUCUCCUGUUGUCGCUUUAAUCACCGGCAACCGCCGCAACUCACCAAAGAGCGAUCGACGUGGAACGCGCGCAACCUUUCCUCUCCUAUUCGGUUCCGUGAUUUUUGAAAUUAUUCCGACGAUACACCUGCCGCCUCUCCUUUCUUCUCUCUCUCUCUUUCCCCCCCUCUUUUCUUAUUCUUCCUCCUUUUCCGACACGCCGCCAACGCCGCCACGUCGAUCGCUCGCCACCGAUCGAUUGAAUUUGAAUCGAAUUUGCCUGGGUUUCGAUUAAAUGUGCGAUACGUACGCGGUUAACGUAACGAGGUUAUACGUUCAGUCUACUUCGACACGAGUUCAUCGACCUAACCUAUAUAUAUAUUUAUUUCGUUUAAAGCUUCUUCGAAAUUUUAUUCUCUUUCUAUUCCAGAUAUUUGCAUUAUUCUAGCGAAUAAUAAUAGGUUUAUUGAAAUACAGAGACGAGUACGAAGCUGACUUCACAGUGAUUCCAAGAUAAUGAUUCAUUAUCGAUUAGAGAUUCAACGAGUGCUACUCGUGACUUGGCCAUUGCUAUCUUUCGAUGAUUAAAUUAAUCAUCCGACGAUUACGAUUGUUUGAAUAUGCGAGUAAGACUUUUUUUUUAAUUUCGUUAAUUGAUAAUUUGACAGGCAGUGUUUUUCUUCCGAGAAUUAACCAAUUAUUUCGUCGAGUGAAAAGUCAUCGCACACGCAGGGAAUCUUGUAACUGUACAGAGGCUUGUACAUGGACAAUGGAAAUGGUAAAAGGGCCGUUUACCUCGAAAGCACCGUACUUUGGAAAAGUGUGACGGUGAUCAUACCUAAUGACACCGUCAUCGGAUACGAUUUCACGUAUUUGCACGACGCGUCCAGCGACACGUUACGCAUUUUUACCGAUUAAUUAUUUGCUCGUUUGAAUCUUCUUUCCUUUCUUGUCUCUUCGCGCAGCGGCAUCGAGAAUGUUGAAAUUUGAAAAGAAAAUUGGAAAGAAUUUUUUCAAAAGAGGAGAUGGAAAAUUGUACGUGCAAAUUAUAAUCGAUAUUGUAUUGUACAAAUAAUAUAUAUAAAAGUACGAGUAUCGAAGAUAUGUGAGUGAAAGUGAAAGAGAUGUAAUUAAUAUCAAAAGUGGCAGAAAACGGACGAUUUUCCAGCCUGAAAACUGAUCGACCGGCAAUGUUUAAGCGAAAUGAAGAUAAAUAAGGCGUAGAAGUGAUCCGUCUUCUCGCUUCAUUAGGUUGCAUUCAUCCAUUUAGCGAAAUUGACCAACUGACGUAGCUCACGACGAUUAUCUUGUCAGCUGCAGACUGACCCUUCGAGUUAUCCACCCCCUGAACAUUCGUCAGCCCGAAUUUUAAUUUAAUCCUGCUCACGUCCCCCUCCCUUCUCUUUUUAAUUAAUUUCAGUUCGCGCCUGAACACAACUUCGUGGGUGGGCGAGAUAUCUCUUCAAUUUUAAUAACUCAUUUCGACUUAAAUUUUUCAGGAUAAUUCAAUGCGAUAAUUUAUUUGGUUGAAAUUUUUUUUGUAGAAAUUUUUUAAGCGAAUCAUUCUUGAAUUGAUUGAAAAAUUCUAAAGAAUAUAAGGUUUGGGCCUUUUUUUUUCUCCUUAUUUUUUGCUUAUAUAGGAAAGAAAAGUUUGAAAGAAGAAGAUGAAGUCGUCACAAUGGUGCUUUGGUGUUUCCAUGAAUAGCCGCAAGAUGUUCCAGAAGAAAGGAGGAAACGUUCAAGGAGGAAGCAGACAGAUGUCGCCAAAAAGAAAGAAAAUGGAGGACGAUGGUUAUUCAUGGAUUUAUUAAAUUCAAAUUCAAUAUCGCAAUCACCCCUUUACCAUCAGGGAGGAACAGGAAGAAGAGAAAGAAGAAGAAGAAGAAAGAAAAGGCUUCAAAAGAGCAACCAUCUGUACGUAUCUGUAUAUACAUAUACAUUCCAAAAUAACAAUAUACAGAAUUAUACAAUUUUUCAAAUGGGACAAACUCAAGAUUAAUCCAAUCCAAGAUCAAGAGAUCAAAUAAUUCACCUAUGAUUAUUUAUCAUCAUCAAUCAAAAUUAUACAUAGCAACAAAAUUCUCCAAGAAUGGAGAAGCAAAAAGGAAUGUUUUCUCAUAGAAGGAACGAGGAGAACAGCGGAAGGCGGAAGAAGCGUUUGAAGAGGAAGUGAAAGAGGAAUUGGCGAGGGAAGAAAAACAAGGAAGGAAAUGGGAUCGCGAGAGGACCACUUAUUUUAGGCCCCUGUUUCGCAGAAGCGGAGGAAUGGAAUACACGUUUCUUUGAGAGGAUGGCAAUGAUUAUUUAAUGAAUUAAACGAGCUACGAGAUAUAUCAACAGAGAAGGAUGGAAAAUGAUUUUUCUGCUUUAUCUUUUUACCUGAAGUUUCUGGAUAACAUUAUAUAUGUAAGGUGGGAAAUUUAAGCGUGGUUAUUUAUGGCCUAUUUGUGCAAGCUCGAGCAGAUAUGUUAUCUUAAUUUUUACCACUUCUCAGUGUAUUUUGUUACAAGAUAACAACUUGAAAUACGAGUUAAAACGUUGUUUAAAUCUCUUCCUGCAAAUUGAAAAUAAUAAUAAUAUUUU